rnacentral:rRNA from 1 species
UACGUAGGGGGCUAGCGUUGUCCGGAAUCAUUGGGCGUAAAGAGCGUGUAGGCGGUCCGGUAAGUCCGCUGUGAAAGUCGGGGGCUCAACCCUCGAAUGCCGGUGGAUACUGUCGGGCUAGAGUGCGGAAGAGGCGAGUGGAAUUCUUGGUGUAGCGGUGAAAUGCGCAGAUAUCAGGAGGAACACCUAUUGCGAAGGCAGCUCGCUGAGACGUAACUGACGCUGAGACGCGAAAGCGUGGGGAGCAAACAGG